UAAAUGGGGCGUGGCCAAGUGGUAAGGCAACGGGUUUUGGUCCCGCUAUUCGGAGGUUCGAAUCCUUCCGUC
rnacentral:tRNA from 1 species